CCCACAAAAAUAGUUGUUCAAUAUAUCUUGGGCUAGGCCGAAAUAAUUGAUCCAAUCCAACUUCUUUUAUUAUGCCAUUGCCAUUACAACACAUCACACUACAAGCUAUCUUGGGCCUAGCCCAGUUCCAUUACAUUUUCAAAGCAACAUGGAAUAUUAUAGGAGCCCAAAAUAUCUUUACAUGCAUUCAUUCUAGCAGUACAUACCUUUACAUCCAACAACCAGUAAGUGCCAAACAAAACUAUUCUACAACAAAGAAAAGAAAAUAGAUGACAAGACAUCACAGAAGUUCCUAUUGUCCUCAUGCUUCAACAUUUGAAAACCUUCACCUGGCAGUAGAUCAAUCAUGAGUGAGAAACAAUACAAAAGCCAAAAAAUGUUCAGACGAUGCAAAAAAUAACAGUCAUUACACAUGGUAUUCGUAUACAGAUUGUAAGUCAUGGAUCCAUUACACAUAGUUUUUGUGUUGUGGACUAUCUUCAUGCAAUUGCUACUUGGUAAGGCAUUACAAUGCUCCAGGAAGUGUACCACACUACAGUCAACAGUCUACAGUAUGCACAGCUAGGAACUGUAAGUCACAUUGCAUAUGCACACUAGAAACUAAGUCAAACAUGCAUGCUACUAAUCCAUUGUCCUGUAGUUGUGUGAAACCCACCAGCAUUAGUAUUUAGUAGUACUCAACCAAUGACAGUAGAAAAAUGUACUACCUCAUCACCCAUUUUGCGCAGGUGCUUGAUGAAGUUCUGGAACUGGUUCUUGUACCCAGAGAUGUAGCUGCAAACAUGCAUGGAAGACGCACGCAAAAUUAGUUCACAUAUACUAAGAAAUUAACAGAAUAGUUUAUUUGACUAGUGCCAUCAAGUUACACCAAUUCAAGACAAGGAGAAGAAAGGAGCAUGACACGACAUAUUUAUGUAAGACGGUUGAUUAUUUAGAGAAGUUAAACUAAGUGCAGGUCACCCAAAACUGAAUUUCUUGCAAUCCAAACAACACAAACAGCAGGGAGAUGGUUGCAUAGAUACAAAUCCAUGUGGUAGCAGCAAAAUUGACCAAUCUCGACUGCAUCUUCUCUGUUUGGUACUAACUAAAUAAAAAAUUGGACUUGUUCAUACAAAUCCCUCUUAAAUUCCUUGACACAACCAUGAUUUGAAUAUAAUAUUCCUUAAUUUAGCGGCAUUAGUAAGCAGAAAAAGAGGGGGGGGGGAGAUGGGGAUGCUACCUGCCGUGGUGGGUCGUCGUGGCCGUGUUUGAUCUUGGGAGGACCUCUUGGCCGCACUAGGGGCAGAGGAGAAGGCCUCUCAUGCCCCUCCUCCUCGAGCAGAGCAGGGCCGAUGGCUAGGUGCACCCCUCAUCCUCAUCCUCCUUUAGCAGGGCAACAUCUGUUACAAUUUGUGUUAAAAUCUCCUAGGAGUUCAAAGGCUAGAAACAAUCGUCUAGUUAGAUUAUAAAAAAAAUAUCAAGUAAUACCAAAAGGAACAGAAACCUGGUCUUAGCAAGCAUAGUACGCUUCAGCAAACAUGCAAGCCAGCAAACAUAAAAGAUACGUACUAGACUUGGGUACACGAGAUCAGUUACUGGAAAAAUUACACCAGGUCAGAUUCUCGAAGAAAGGUGCAACCAACACCAUAUUCUUCUUGAAGGAAAUAUGCCCUAGAGGCAAUAAUAAAGUUAUUAUUUAUUUCCUUAUAUCAUGAUAAAUGUUUAUUAUUCAUGCUAGAAUUGUAUUAACCGGAAACAUAAUACAUGUGUGAAUACAUAGACAAACAGAGUGUCACUAGUAUGCCUCUACUAGACUAGCUCGUUAAUCAAAGAUGGUUAUGUUUCCUAACCAUGGACAAAGAGUUGUUAUUUGAUUAACGGGAUCACAUCAUUAGGUGACUGAUCUGAUUGACAUGACCCAUUCCAUUAGCUUAGCACCCGAUCGUUUAGUAUGUUGCUAUUGCUUUCUUCAUGACUUAUACAUGUUCCUAUGACUAUGAGAUUAUGCAACUCCCGUUUGCCCGAGGAACACUUUGUGUGCUACCAAAUGUCACAACGUAACUGGGUGAUUAUAAAGAUGCUCUACAGGUGUCUCCAAAGGUACGUGUUGGGUUGGUGUAUUUCGAGAUUAGGAUUUGUCAUUCCGAUUGUCGGAGAGGUAUCUCUGGGCCCUCUCGAUAAUGCACAUCACAUAAGCCUUGCAAGCAUUGCAACUAAUGAGUUAGUUGUGAGAUGAUGUAUUACGAAACGAGUAAAGAGACUUGCCAGUAAUGAGAUUGAACUAGGUAUUGAGAUACCGACGAUCGAAUCUCGGGCAAGUAACAUACCGAUGACAAAGGGAACAACGUAUGUUGUUAUGCGGUCUGACCGAUAAAGAUCUUCGUAGAAUAUGUAGGAGCCAAUAUGGGCAACCAGGUCCCGCUAUUGGUUAUUGACCGGAGACGUGUCUCGGUCAUGUCUACAUUGUUCUCGAACCGUAGGGUCCGCACGCUUAACGUUACGAUGACAGUUUCAUUAUGAGUUUAUAAAUUUUGAUGUACCGAAGUUUGUUCGGAGUCCCGGAUGUGAUCAUGGACAUGAAGAGGAGUCUCGAAAUGGUCGAGACAUAAAGAUUGAUAUAUUGGACGGCUAUUCGGACACCGGAAGUGUACCGGGUGAUUUCGGAGAAAACCGGAGAGCCGGAGGGUUACCGGAACCCCCCGGGAGAAGUAAUGGGCCAUAUGGGCCCUAGUGGAGAGAGAGAGAGGGGCAGCCAAAGGUGGGCCGCGCGCCUCCUCCUCCCUGGUCCGAAUUGGACUAGGAGAGGGGGGGGGGGGCGGCGCCCCCCUUUCCCUCUCCGUCCCCACUUCUUUCCCCCUCCUAGUAGGAGUCCUAGUCCUACUAGGAGGAGGACUCCUCCUUGGCGCGCCAUAGAGGCCGGCCAGCCUCCUCCCCUUGAUCCUUUAUAUACGGGGGCAGGGGGGCACCCUAGGACACACAAGUUGAUCUUCGUGAUCGUUCCUUAGCCGUGUGCGGUGCUCCCCUCCACGAUAUUACACCUCGGUCAUAUUGUAGCAGUGCUUAGGCGAAGCCCUGCGACGGUUGAACAUCAAGAUCGUCACCACGCCGUCGUGCUGACGGAACUUAUCCCCGAAGCUUUGCUGGAUCGGAGCGCGGGGAUCGUCAUCGAGCUGAAUGUGUGCCAAGAACUCGGAGGUGCCGGAGUAAUGGUCCUUGGAUCGGUCGGACCGUGAAGACGUACGACUACAUUAACCACGUUGUGCUAACGCUUCCGUUGUCGAUCUACAAGGGUACGUAGAUCACACUCUCCCCUCUCGUUGCUAUGCAUCACCAUGAUCUUGCGUGUGAGUAGGAUUUUUUUUGAAAUUACCGCGUUCCCCAACAGUGGCAUCCGAGCCUAGGUUUUAUAUGUUGAUGUUAUAUGCACGAGUAGAACACAAAUGAGUUGUGGGCGAUAUAAGUCAUACUGCUUACCAGCAUGUCAUACUUUGGUUCGGCGGUAUUGUUGGACGAAGCGGCCCAGACCGACAUUAUGCAUACGCUUACGCGAGACCGGUUCUCCCGACGUGCUUUGCACAUAGGUGGCUUGCGGGUGACAGUUUCUCCAACUUUAGUUGAACCGAGUGUGGCUACGCCUGGUCCUUGCGAAGGUUAAAAUAGCACCAACUUGACAAACUAUCGUUGUGGUUUUGAUGCGUAGGUAAGAUUAGUUCUUGCAUAAGCCCGUAGCAGCCACGUAAAACUUGUAACAACAAAGUAGAGGACAUCUAACUUGUUUUUGCAGGGCAUGUUGUGAUGUGAUAUGGUCAAGACAUGAUGCUAAAUUUUAUUGUAUGAGACGAUCAUGUUUUGUAACCGAGUUAUCGGCAGCUGGCAGGAGCCAUAUGGUUGUCGCUUUAUUGUAUGCAAUGCAAUCGCGCUAUAAUGCUUUAGUUUAUCACUAAGCGGUAGCGAUAGUCAUGGAAGCAUAAGAUUGGCGAGACGACAAUGAUGCUACGAUGGAGAUCAAGGUGUCGCGCCGGUGACGAUGGUGAUCACGACGGUGCUUCAAAGAUGGAGAUCACAAGCACAAGAUGAUGAUGGCCAUAUCAUAUCACUUAUAUUGAUUGCAUGUGAUGUUUAUCUUUUAUGCAUCUUAUCUUGCUUUGAUUGACGGUAGCAUUAUAAGAUGAUCUCUCACUAAUUAUCAAGAAGUGUUCUCCCUGAGUAUGCACCGUUGCGAAAGUUCUUCGUGCUGAGACACCACGUGAUGAUCGGGUGUGAUAGGCUCCACGUUCAAAUACAACGGGUGCAAAACAGUUGCACACGCGGAAUACUCAGGAUAUACUUGACGAGCCAAGCAUAUACAGAUAUGGCCUCGGAACACGGAGACCGAAAGGUCGAGCGUGAAUCAUAUAGUAGAUAUGAUCAACAUAGUGAUGUUCACCAAUGAAACUACUCCAUCUCACGUGAUGAUCGGACAUGGUUUAGUUGAUUUGGAUCACGUAAUCACUUAGAGGAUUAGAGGGAUGUCUAUCUAAGUGGGAGUUCUUUAAGUAAUAUGAUUAAUUGAACCUAAAUUUAUCAUGAACUUAGUACCUGAUAGUAUCUUGCUUAUGUAUGUUUGAUUGUAGAUAGAUGGCCCGUGCUGUUGUUCCGUUGAAUUUUAAUGCGUUCCUUGAGAAAGCAAAGUUGAAAGAUGAUGGUAGCAAUUACACGGACUGGGUCCGUAACUUGAGGAUUAUCCUCAUUGCUGCACAGAAGAAUUACGUCCUGGAAGCACCGCUGGGUGCCAGGCCUGCUGCUGGAGCAACACCAGAUGUUAUGAACGUCUGGCAGAGCAAAGCUGAUGACUACUCGAUAGUUCAGUGUGCCAUGCUUUACGGCUUAGAAUCGGGACUUCAACGAUGUUUUGAACGUCAUGGAGCAUAUGAGAUGUUCCAGGAGUUGAAGUUAAUAUUUCAAGCAAAUGCCCGGAUUGAGAGAUAUGAAGUCUCCAAUAAGUUCUAUAGCUGCAAGAUGGAGGAGAAUAGUUCUGUCAGUGAGCAUAUACUCAAAAUGUGUGGGGUAUAAUAAUCACUUGAUUCAAUUGGGAGUUAAUCUUCCAGAUGAUUGCAUCAUUGACAGAAUUCUCCAAUCACUGCCACCAAGCUACAAGAGCUUCGUGAUGAACUAUAAUAUGCAAGGGAUGAAUAAGACUAUUCCCUAGCUCUUCGCAAUGCUGAAAGCUGCGGAGGUAGAAAUCACGAAAGAGCAUCAAGUGUUAAUGGUCAACAAGACCACUAGUUUCAAGAAAAAGGGAAAAGGGAAGAAGAAAGGGAACUUCAAAAAGAACAUCAAGCAAGUUGCUACUCAAGAGAAGAAACCCAAACCUGGACCUAAGCCUGAAACUGAGUGCUUCUACUGCAAGCAGACUGGUCACUAGAAGCGGAACUGCCCCAAGUAUUUGGCGGAUAAGAAGGAUGGCAAGGUGAACAAAGGUAUAUGUGAUAUACAUGUUAUUGAUGUGUACCUUACUAAUGCUCGCAGUAGCACCUGGGUAUUUAAUACUGGUUCUGUUGCUAAUAUUUGCAACUCGAAACAGGGACUACGGAUUAAGCGAAGAUUGGCUAAGGACGAGGUAACGAUGCGCGUGGGAAACGGUUCCAAAGUCGAUGUGAUCGCAGUCGGCACGCUACCUCUACAUCUACCUUUGGGAUUAAUAUUAGACCUAAAUAAUUGUUAUUUGGUGCCAGCGUUAAGCAUGAACAUUAUAUCUGGAUCUUGUUUGAUGCAAGACAGUUAUUCAUUUAAAUCUGAGAAUAAUGGUUGUUCUAUUUAUAUGAGUAAUAUCUUUUAUGGUCAUGCACCCUUAAAGAGUGGUCUAUUUAUAUUAAAUCUCGAUAGUAGUGACACACAUAUUCAUAGUGUUGAAGCCAAAAGAUGCAGAGUUGAUAAUGAUAGUGCAACUUAUUUGUGGCACUGCUGUUUGGGUCAUAUCGGUAUAAAGCGCAUGAAGAAACUCCAUACUGAUGGGCUUUUGGAACCACUUGAUUAUGAAUCACUUGGUACUUGCGAACCAUGCCUUAUGGGUAAGAUGACAAAAACACCGUUCUCCGGUACUAUGGAGAGAGCAACAGAUUUGUUGGAAAUCAUACAUACAGAUGUAUAUGGUCUGAUGAACGUUGAGGCUCGUGGCGGAUAUCGUUAUUUUCUCACCUUCAUAGAUGACUUAAGUAGAUAUGGGUAUAUCUACUUAAUGAAACACAAGUCUGAAACAUUUGAAAAGUUCAAAGAAUUUCAGUGUGAAGUUGAAAAUCAUUGUAACAAGAAAAUAAAGUUUCUACGAUCUGAUCGUGGAGGAGAAUAUUUGAGUUACGAGUUUGGUGUACAUUUGAAAAAUUGUGGAAUAGUUUCGCAACUCACGCCACCCGGAACACCACAGCGUAAUGGUGCGUCCGAACGUCGUAAUCAUACUUUACUAGGUAUGGUGCGAUCUAUGAUGUCUCUUACUGAUUUACCGCUAUCGUUUUGGGGAUACGCUCUAGAGACGGCCGCAUUCACGUUAAAUAGGGCACCAUCAAAAUCCAUUGAGACGACGCCUUAUGAACUGUGGUUUGGCAAGAAACCAAAGUUGUCGUUUCUGAAAGUUUGGGGCUGCGAUGCUUAUGUGAAAAAGCUUCAACCUGAUAAGCUCGAACCCAAAUCGGAAAAAUGUGUCUUCAUAGGAUAUCCAAAUGAAACUAUUGGAUACACCUUCUAUCACAAAUCCUAAGGCAAGACUUUUGUUGCUAAAUUCGAAAACUUUCUGGAGAAGGAGUUUCUCUCGAAAGAAGUGAGUGGGAGAAAAGUAGAACUUGACGAGGUAACUGUACCUACUCCCUUAUUGGAAAGUAGUACAUCACAAAAAACAUGUUUCUGUGACACCUACACCAGUUAGUGAGGAAGCUAAUGAUGAUGAUCAUGAAACUUCAGAACAAGAUACUACUGAACCUCGUAGAUCAACCAGAGUGAGAUCCGCGCCAGAGUGGUACGGUAAUCCUGUUCUGGAAGUCAUGCUACUAGAUCAUGAUGAACCUACGAACUAUGAAGAAGCGAUGGUGAGCCCAGAUUCCGCAAAAUGGCUUGAAGCCAUGAAAUCUGAGAUGGGAUCCAUGUAUGUGAACAAAGUAUGGACUUUGGUUGACUUGCCCGAUGAUAGGCAAGCAAUUGAGAAUAAAUGGAUCUUCAAGAAGAAGACUGACACUGACGGUAAUAUUACUGUCUACAAAGCUCGACUUGUCGCAAAAGGUUUUCGGCAAGUUCAAGGGAUUGACUACGAUGAGACCUUCUCACCCGUAGCGAUGCUUAAGUCUGUCCGAAUCAUGUUAGCAAUUGCCGCAUUUUAUGAUUAUGAAAUUUGGCAGAUGGAUGUCAAAACCGCAUUCCUGAAUGGAUUUCUGGAAGAAGAGUUGUAUAUGAUGCAACCAGAAGGUUUUGUCGAUCCAAAGGGAGCUAACAAAGUGUGCAAGCUCCAGCGAUCCAUUUAUGGACUGGUGCAAGCCUCUCGGAGUUGGAAUAAACGCUUUGAUAGUGUUAUCAAAGCAUUUGGUUUUAUAGAGACUUUUGGAGAAGCCUGUAUUUACAAGAAAGUGAGUGGGAGCUCCGUAGUAUUUCUGAUAUCAUAUGUGGAUGACAUAUUACUAAUUGGAAAUGAUAUAGAAUUUCUGGAUAGCAUAAAGGGAUACUUGAAUAAGAGUUUUUCAAUGAAAGACCUCGGUGAAGCUACUUACAUAUUAGGCAUUAAGAUCUAUAGAGAUAGAUCAAGAUGCUUAAUAGGACUUUCACAAAGCACAUACCUUGACAAAGUUUUGAAGAAGUUCAAAAUGGAUCAAGCAAAGAAAGGGUUCUUGCCUGUGUUACAAGGUGUGAAGUUGAGUAAGACUCAAUGCCCGACCACUGCAGAAGAUAGAGAGAAAAUGAAAGAUGUUCCCUAUGCUUCAGCCAUAGGCUCUAUCAUGUAUGAAAUGCUGUGUACCAGACCUGAUGUGUGCCUUGCUAUAAGUCUAGCAGGGAGGUACCAAAGUGAUCCAGGAGUGGAUCACUGGACAGCGGUCAAGAACAUCUUGAAAUACCUGAAAAGGACUAAGGAUAUGUUUCUCAUAUAUGGAGGUGACAAAGAGCUCAUCGUAAAAGGUUACGUUGAUGCAAGCUUUGACACUGAUCCGGACGAUUCUAAAUCACAAACUGGAUACGUGUUUACAUUAAAUGGUGGAGCUGUCAGUUGGUGCAGUUCUAAACAAAGCGUUGUGGCGGGAUCUACAUGUGAAGCAGAGUACAUAGCUGCUUCGGAAGCAGCAAAUGAAGGAGUCUGGAUGAAGGAGUUCAUAUCCAAUCUAGGUGUCAUACCUAGUGCAUCGGGUCCAAUGAAAAUCUUUUGUGACAAUACUGGUGCAAUUUCCUUGGCAAAGGAAUCCAGAUUUCACAAGAGAACCAAGCACAUCAAGAGAUGCUUCAAUUCCAUCCGGGAUCUAGUCCAGGCGGGAGACAUAGAGAUUUGCAAGAUACAUACGGAUCUGAAUGUAGCAGACCCGUUGACUAAGCCUCUUCCACGAGCAAAACAUGAUCAGCACCAAGGCUCCAUGUGUGUUAGAAUCAUUACUGUGUAAACUAGAUUAUUGACUCUAGUGCAAGUGGGAGACUGAAGGAAAUAUGCCCUAGAGGCAAUAAUAAAGUUAUUAUUUAUUUCCUUAUAUCAUGAUAAAUGUUUAUUAUUCAUGCUAGAAUUGUAUUAACCGGAAACAUAAUACAUGUGUGAAUACAUAGACAAACAGAGUGUCACUAGUAUGCCUCUACUAGACUAGCUCAUUAAUCAAAGAUGGUUAUGUUUCCUAACCAUGGACAAAGAGUUGUUAUUUGAUUAACAAGAUCACAUCAUUAGGUGAAUGAUCUGAUUGACAUGACCCAUUCCAUUAGCUUAGCACCCGAUCGUUUAGUAUAUUGCUAUUGCUUUCUUCAUGACUUAUACAUGUUCCUAUGACUAUGAGAUUAUGCAACUACCGUUUGCCGGAGGAACACUUUGUGUGCUACCAAACAUCACAACGUAACUGGGUGAUUAUAAAGGUGCUCUACAGGUGUCUCCAAAGGUACAUGUUGUGUUGGCGUAUUUCGAGAUUAGGAUUUGUCACUCCGAUUGUCGGAGAGGUAUCUCUGGGCCCUCUCGGUAAUGCACAUCACAUAAGCCUUGCAAGCAUUGCAACUAAUGAGUUAGUUGUGAGAUGAUGUAUUACGAAACGAGUAAAGAGACUUGCCAGUAACGAGAUUGAACUAGGUAUUGAGAUACCGACGAUCGAAUCUCGGGCAAGUAACAUACCGAUGACAAAGGGAACAACGUAUGUUGUUAUGCGGUCUGAUCGAUAAAGAUCUUCGUAGAAUAUGUAGGAGCCAAUAUGGGCAACCAGGUCCCGCUAUUGGUUAUUGACCGGAGACGUGUCUCGGUCAUGUCUACAUUGUUCUCGAACCGUAGGGUCCGCACGCUUAACGUUACGAUGACAAUUUCAUUAUGAGUUUAUACAUUUUGAUGUACCGAAGUUUGUUCGGAGUCCCGGAUGUGAUCAUGGACAUGACGAGGAGUCUCGAAAUGGUCGAGACAUAAAGAUUGAUAUAUUGGACGGCUAUAUUCGAACACCGGAAGAGUUCCGGGUGAUUUCGGAGAAAACCGGAGAGCCGGAGGGUUACCGGAACCCCCCCGGGAGAAGUAAUGGGCCAUAUGGGCCCUAGUGGAGAGAGAGGGGCAGCCAAAGGUGGGCCGCGCGCCUCCUCCCCCCUGGUCCGAAUUGGACUAGGAGAGGGGGGCAGCACCCCCCUUUCCCUCUCCCUCCCCACUUCUUUCCCCCUCCUAGUAGGAGUCCUAGUCCUACUAGGAGGAGGACUCCUCCUUGGCGCGCCAUAGAGGCCGGCCGGCCUCCUCCCCUUGAUCCUUUAUAUACGGGGGCAGGGGGGCACCCUAGGACACACAAGUUGAUCUUCGUGAUCGUUCCUUAGCCGUGUGCGGUGCCCCCCUCCACGAUAUUACACCUCGGUCAUAUUGUAGCAGUGCGUAGGCGAAGCCCUGCGACGGUUGAACAUCAAGAUCGUCACCACGCUGUCGUGCUGACGGAACUUAUCCCCGAAGCUUUGCUGGAUCGGAGUCCGGGGUUCGUCAUCAAGAUGAACGUGUGCCAAGAACUCAGAGGUGCCGGAGUAACGGUGCUUGGAUCGGUCGGACCGUGAAGACGUACGACUACAUCAACCACGUUGUGCUAACGCUUCCGUUGUCGAUCUACAAGGGUACGUAGAUCACACUCUCCCCUCUCGUUGCUAUGCAUCACCAUGAUCUUGCGUGUGCGUAGGAAUUUUUUUGAAAUUACUACGUUCCCUAACACUUCUAUCCAGGACCAAGUGAUGUGGCGCAAGAAGACGUAUCUAAGCAAAUACUUGACUAACACUAUGAUGUCUUAUCUGUGCAAGAAGACAUACAUGUCCAGCAAGCCUAAUUAAUAGUGUCAAACUGUAGCUAUAAAUAGCACAUCAGCAGCAGCAUAAUAUCAGAGAUGUGAUGCCACCGUUUACUAGUGCUAAUGAAAAUUUGCUACACCAAUUUUAACUAGCAGGUAAAGGUUCCAGCAAUAGUUUGGAAAUCUACAAACAGAAGACUGAGGCAAUGGUUGCUUGGUACUUUUCCUAUUUUAAGAUCAAUCUUUCGCACUGAUUACUGUCAAACAUAAAAGAUGGCAAUACAUAUUUAGUGCUUCGGAGAAUCAGACAGUUCUCAGAAAGUUCUCAGAAUAAUAAUACAAGAAAAAAGGAACACACACAUCAUGCAGCAUAUUAAAGAAUUAUGCAUCGAUCAUCCAUUAGGGGUCCAAGAUCAUGUUAUAAGUUCUCAAAAUAAUUCAGAAUAGUUGCCACUUAGAGUCAUCAAUACCAACAUAACAACAGUCAACUAAAACUACGGCUACCUGAUUGUCACUGUAAGUUUAAUCAAACCAAGAACUGAUCAUACAGUUUACUGACUAUAACCUAAUUUGCUACUAGAUUAUAAAUGUUAUAUCAGAGGGAUUAAUAUUAGGAAACAUUAUAUCACGAGUUCUAGAGAGGAAAUAUACAAAAUCAAGCAGAGCAGGGAGGCAGAGGUCGUGAAAGGAAUUAAAAUUGAAUGCAUGACACUAAUCGACAGUUCACAUUUCCUUUUCAGAUUUAGUGCAUAGAUAAUAUUUCCUUUAGGUUAAUCACAUAUGCAUGUAUGUAUGAAGCAGAACAUGAAAAGAACAACAUCUAAUUAACUUGAUUGCCUUGCAAAUGACACACAAGAUGAAGAUCACUUGGACAGAAGCUACUAUACUUGUGGAUGUAAUUAACCUAAUCUAAUGUGAUGGGAACAACAUCACAAUUCACAAGCAGACACCCAUACUCUCAAAUUUAGUAUACAGUUGCUAACUGAAA
rnacentral:lncRNA from 1 species